AAUGCAUGUAGAUAGAACUAUGGUUUACUUUACAAAUUGUUCCAGAAAUUCAUUUAGUCAACCUAAAAAAAUGUACAAUAUUUUCCAGUUCUAUUUUCCAGUUUUAUUACUAAACAGCUCUUCACGAAAGAGGCUGGAUUGAUAUAUCAAUCACGUAAUAUUUGUAGAUAAUGAUUAAUUAGCAGCAACGAACAUAUAUAUUGCGCGUGAAAACUUUAGCAGCACUGUAUUCAGCUGAUACUCUACAGUGAUCUUUAUCCUGCUAUUGUGAAAUGAAGACCCGGUCUGUAAUAAAGAAGGACUCCAAAAGUGAGGAAGAACAACGUCUGGAUAUUCCAAUGGAUUCCCAACAAAGCCAUGGAAAUCGAAUGCAUUCUACACAGUCUUCGUCUUCAGGUGACACGUCAAAGACAAGUUACAUUUCAACCUCGGAUAUUGGAGUUCAAACGGAAUUAUUGAUGGCGGAUCCCAGUUCAUGGCGUAUCGUUUUGUUCCCACGUGACGUACAAAACGCAGUUCGCGCCUGGGAAUCAAAGAGACGAGAAUUAUGACCCGUAGGAGAUUACCAAAUCCAAAAUAUAGCAUCGGGAAAGACAAAGAUUUAUUCACAUCCAGAAACUCUGACUAUCUGAUUGAUAAUCUUAUAUUCUCAUUAUUAAAUGUUUUAGUUUAUGUAAAUUUAUCACAGUAAUGAUGACGCGCUCCUCACUGUACAGUACUGUAUUGUACCUCAUUCACAAGAACAGAGCUAAUAUUCAUUGUGACACCUAUACAUGUAUAUAAAUCCAAAUUACUUUUUUUAAAAAAAAGAGAUCACAGUGCCCGGUAUAAGAUAAUAAAAUUUUGAAAGAAAUAAAAUAAACAACACGCAAAGUUAAAACACACUAAUUCAAAAUGUAACGCCCGAGGAUCUUAAAGUGAAUAGUGCAUAUCUAUAGUUGUUGUAAUAGAUGUAUCGUGUGAUUAAAUGCUUUAACACUA